UACGGAGGGUGCAAGCGUUAUCCGGAUUUACUGGGCUUAAAGGGUGCGUAGGUAGGUAGGUAAGUCAGUGGUGAAAUCUGCGAGCUUAACUCGGAAACUGCCAUUGAUACUAUUUAUCUUGAAUACUCUGGAGGUAAGCGGAAUAUGUCAUGUAGCGGUGAAAUGCUUAGAUAUGACAUAGAACACCAAUUGCGAAGGCAGCUUACUGCAUAGUUAUUGACACUGAGGCGCGAAAGCGUGGGGAGCAAACAGG
rnacentral:rRNA from 1 species